UAACGUGUUCGGAACAUAUUCUUUAUCGGUGUUAAGUAGAGCGUAAAAUCAAAGACUAUCGAAUGAAAUAUAGUCUCGCUGCUCCGAGACUCCAACGCGAGCUACCUGAGACCCGGUGAAUUUUCUACCGGAUAUGGAUGUGCUUUAAGGAAUUCCAGUGUUAAUUGUACUUUUUGGGGACUUUGAGUGAUUCACCACCCUUUGAACAAAUGUAUUUUGAGAUCCUCAAAGGAAUCCUAGAUUUGUCAAGAAGCCAUGUUUUAAUUGCUGCCUAUCAAAUAGUACUGUGUCUUGCAUGUGUAAAUUAGAUUCAUUUUGAGGAAAUAGCUGGUGUGCAGUGCACAUUCCUAAAUGAAUUCAUCAGUUUACAUUAAGGAUCUACCUUCAAAUCCUGUAAUCUGGGAUUCUCUA